GGCCUCGUGGUCGAGUGGUAAGGAUACUUGCCUCUCAUCCUGGAGUCCCAUUGGGUUCGAUCCCCGGUCGAGGAGCUCG